rnacentral:lncRNA from 1 species
UCGGGCACAGCUGCACCCAAAAAUAACUGCCCGAAGCACGGGGUGCCAAGUUCGUCCGGCGGAAAAAGGCAACAAAAACUGGUGGGCUAUAGCCUUGGGGGGUGGGGCUGGCCAACUUCGUCUGCCGGACCCGGAAUGGCGCGAGACUAUACGAGGCACCUCCAUUUGCCAAAAAUAGGCCGUGGACAAAGCCGCGCCCAAAAAUAGCCGCCCGAAGGCCGGGGCGCCAAGUUCGUCCAGCGGAAAAAGGCCACAAAAACGGGUGGGCUAUAGCCUUGGGUGGUGGUGCUGGCCAACUUCGUCCGCCGGACUCGGAAUGCCGCGAGACUUUCCGAGGGGCCUCCGUGUGCCAAAAAUAGGCCGCGGGCAAAGCCGCGCCCAAAAAUAACCACCCGAAGGCUGGGGCGCCAAGUUCGUCCGGCGGAAAAAGGCCACAAAAACGGGUUGGCUAUAGCCUUGGGGGGUGGGGCUGGCCAACUUCGUCCGCCGGACUCGGAAUGCCGCGAGACUUUGCGAGGGGCCUUCGUGUGCCAAAAAUAGGCCGUGGGCAAAGCCGUACCCAAAAAUAACCGCCCGAAGGCCAGGGCGCCAAGUUCGACCAGCGGAAAAAGGCCACAAAAACGGGUGGGCUAUAGCCUUGUGGGGUGGGGCUGGCCAACUUCGUCCGCUGGUCUCGGAAUGGGGCGAGACUUCACGAGGCACCUCCGUGUGUCAAAAAUAGGCCGCGUGCAGAGCCGGGACCAAAAAGAACCGCCCGAAGGCCGGGGCGCCAACUUCGUCCAGCGGAAAAAGCCCACAAAAACGGGUGGGCUAUAGCCUUGGGGGGUGGGGCUGGCCAACUUCGUCCGCCAGACUCAGAAUGUCGCGAGAGUUUGCGAGGGGCCUCCGCGUGCCAAAAAUAGGCCUCGGGCACAGCUGCACCCAAAAAUAACUGCCCGAAGCACGG